rnacentral:lncRNA from 1 species
AACGUAAGUGAAGAACACUGAAUCUCUCUUUGAAAGAGGAGUGUGAAUUCUCCAACCAAGGUCACCUUGCCUCUCUUUCUACCUACACAGCAACUGAAAGACUUUCCAAGUCUUUCCAUGGCCACUGGUAUAUGGCAUUCUAACUUGGAGUGUGCCUUCUUCCUCCCUUGACGAGAUUUCCAUGUGCUCUUGCUUGUAGUGUGAGGCUCAAACAGUUUUUUUUUUCUGGAGUCAAACCAGUCAUGAAACUGAAAAUGAGACAUUGAGACUAGGCACAGUCAGUUUUGUUGGAAUCUGAGCCUUUUCUUCCUUCUUCCCUUUCCUGUGACUGACAGGGCCUGAGUCUCUGCCUGCUCCUGGUUGGGAGCCAUUGGCUUUGUAGAGACCUCUACCAGGCUACAAGAUAUGAAAAUGGCCAAUUUAAUUAGUAUAAGAUGAGUGUUGCAGAAGACAAGCAUUACUUCUGCAAAGCAGGAGUCUGAGGUUACUGAUGUGGCCAAGACUGGUUUGGCAAUGAGACCCCAUUGCUAAGGGCUGGAAGUGGGUGACAUCCAAGCUCUGUUCUGGACCUUCUCUAGAUUGUGUUUCCUUAGCAGAAUCAGGGUCAAAAAUCACCAAAGCCACAUGCUUCCCCAUUUAUGACCUGUCUCUCAUACUCCUCAGCAAGACAAUACAUCCUCCCAUUUUUAAAAGAUUAUUUUUUUAAAAAAAAUCUCGUCCUGCUAGCACAACAAUUAUUUUGACUCAAUCAGGUGACCUUUCUUAAGGGAACGCAGUGACUGUGCAUUUUUACUCAAAGACUGGAUAGUGUGAGCUCAGUUGGAGAGAAGUUUUGCUUUCUUAGUUAUGUGGAUUUUUCAGAAUAAUCAGAGCUUUCUAGUUGCCACUUUAACUUCUGGAAUCUUAUCUUUUCCUUCAGUAUAAGAGUAUAAGUGUCAUUUCUUUGUUCCUUUAAAAACGGAAGUGGAGGAAGGGUCCAGUGUCAUUCGUUACCUGCCUGAACUCUGUAGACAUUUGAGUUGCAUACCCUGCUCUAGUGACCAGAGGGUAAAGUUGCUCUUCAAUGUUUAGCAGAAGCUCUUCAGAGUGUAG